rnacentral:tRNA from 1 species
UUAAUUAUAGUAUAAAACCAUUACAAAGCUUUUUCAAGGCUUAAAUCCUUUAUCAAGGUAAUUAAU